rnacentral:rRNA from 1 species
UGGGGAAUAUUGCACAAUGGAGGGAACUCUGAUGCAGCGACGCCGCGUGAGUGAUGAAGGAAUUCGUUUCGUAAAACUCUGUUCUAUGGGAAGAAAAGGACUGUACCAUAGGAGAAAGCUCCGGCUAAAUACGUGCCAGCAGCCGCGGUAAUACGUAUAGAGCGAGCGUUGUCCGGAAUUAUUGGGCGUAAAGGGUGCGCAGGCGGCUUUACAAGUUGGAUGUGAAAUAUUGUGGCUCAACCACAAACGUGCAUCCAAAACUGCAAAGCUUGAGUGAAGGAGAGGUAAGUGGAAUUCCUGGUGUAGCGGUGGAAUGCGUAGAUAUCAGGAGGAAUACCGGUGGCGAAGGCGACUUACUGGACUUAAACUGACGCUCAGGCACGAAAGCGUGGGGAGCAAACAGG